rnacentral:lncRNA from 1 species
AUGGAUCUCUUUCCUCUUCCUUCCCUGAUCCCCAAUCCCAGAGCCUUUCUCUUUCUUCCUUCCUUCCCUCCCUCCCUCCAUCCAUCUCUCUUUCUUUCUUUCUUUCUUUCUUUCUUUCUUUCUUUCUUUCUUUCUUUCUUUCUUUCUUUCUUUCUUUCUCUUCCUUCCUUCCUUCCUUUCUUUCUUUCUUUCUUUCUUUCUUUCUUUCUUUCUUUCUUUCUUUCUUUCUUUCUUUCUUUCUUUCUUUCUUUCUUUCUUUCUUUCUUUCUUUCUUUCUUUCUUUCUUUCUUUCUUUCUUCCUUCCUUCCUUCCUUCCUUCUUUCUCUUCCUCCUCUUUCUUCUUCAUUAAAAACAAAACAACACAAAACAAAAAAAAAAAAACUCCUCAGCUUCUGUCUUAGUAUCAAUCCUGAGACAGAAGAACAGCAAAGGCGAGGCAAUGGGUUAGGUGACUUGUCCAAGAUCACAUAG